AAGCCCAGGCAAAAAAUCUUUUGCGUUUUGAGGUUUGCAAACUCUGUACAAGGCC
rnacentral:tRNA from 1 species